GGAUUAGAAAACCUGACGGCCCAUCCACCCUGUUUCGUGAAGAUGGUCUCCCCCACUCCUGCUCUAGACUGAGUAAGAGCGCUACCAACCGCUGCUGGAGCAGGGGGAACAGUGUCCUUUCUGGAUGUGACAACACGCGUACCCGGAAAAGGAGGAGGCCGGGACAGGGGUCUGGACGGCGGCUAUGGAGGGAUCCGGCUACAGGGUAGUGUUCGAGAAGGGAGGCGUGUACCUGCACACCAGCGCCAAGAAGCACCAGGACCCGGACUCGCUCAUCGCUGGCGUCAUCCGGGUGGUGGAGAAGGACAACGACGUGUUCCUGCACUGGGCUCCUGUGGAGGAGGCCGGAGAUUGCACCCAGAUCCUCUUCUCCAAGAAGGACACCAGUGGGGGUGACUCCUGCACCUCGGAGGAGGAGCCAACCUUCGACCCUGGCUAUGAACCCGAUUGGGCCGUCAUCAGCACGGUGCGGCCGCGACCCCGUCCUUCAGAGCUCCCGAGAGGGACAGAGCCCGGCUCCACCCUGGGCUCCUGGGCCUUCUCCGUCAGCCUCGGAGAACUCAAGUCCAUCCGUCGUUCCAAGCCGGGCCUCAGCUGGGCCUACCUGGUGCUGGUGACGCAGGCUGGGGGCUCCCUGCCCGCCCUGCACUUCCACCGUGGGGGCACCCGUGCCCUGCUCCGCGUCCUCAGCCGCUACCUGCUUUUGGCCAGCUCCCCGCAGGACUCCCGCCUCUACCUGGUCUUCCCGCAUGACUCCUCGGCCCUCUCCAGCUCUUUUCACCACCUGCAGCUCUUCGAUCAGGACAACUCCAGCGUGGUGUCCCGCUUCUUCCAGGACCCCUACUCGACCACCUUCAGCAGUUUCUCCCGAGUGACCAACUUCUUCCGGGGCGCCCUGCAGCCACACCCCGAGGGGGCUUCCUCGCCAGAUCUGCCUCUGCCCCCUGAGGAUGAGCCUGAACCCGGCUUCGAGGUCAUCUCCUGUGUAGAACUGGGGCCGCGGCCGGCCGUGGAGCGGGCCCUGCCAGUCACCGAGGAGGAGUGGGCCUGCCAUGUGGGUCCUGAGGGCCGCCUGCAGCAGGUGCCUGAGCUGAAACAGCGCAUCUUUUCUGGGGGUCUAAGUCCCGGCGUGCGGCGUGAUGCCUGGAAGUUUCUCCUGGGCUACUUUAGCUGGGAGGGCUCAGCCGAGGAGCACAAGGCCCACGUGCGCCAGAAGACGGACGAGUAUUUCCGCAUGAAGCUGCAGUGGAAGUCGGUGAGCCCCGAGCAGGAGCGCCGGAACUCGCUGCUGCAUGGCUACCGCAGCCUCAUUGAGAGAGACGUGAGUCGCACCGACAGGACCAACAAGUUCUAUGAGGGUCCCGAGAACCCGGGGCUGGGCCUGCUCAACGACAUCCUGCUCACCUACUGCAUGUACCACUUCGACCUGGGCUAUGUCCAGGGCAUGAGUGACCUCCUCUCCCCAAUCCUCUACGUGGUGCAGAAUGAGGUGGACGCCUUCUGGUGUUUCUGUGGCUUCAUGGAGCUGGUGCAGGGGAACUUCGAAGAGAGUCAGGAGACCAUGAAGCGGCAGCUCGGGCAACUCCUGCUGCUCCUGAGGGUGCUGGACCCGCCGCUCUGUGACUUCCUGGACUCGCAGGACUCUGCUUCUCUCUGCUUCUGCUUCCGGUGGCUGCUCAUCUGGUUCAAGCGGGAGUUCCCCUUCCCGGAUGUCCUUCGGCUGUGGGAGGUGCUGUGGACAGGGCUUCCUGGCCCCAACCUGCACCUGUUGGUGGCCUGUGCCAUCCUGGACAUGGAGCGGGACACCCUCACGCUCUCCGGAUUUGGCUCCAAUGAGAUCCUCAAGCACAUCAACGAGCUGACCAUGAAGCUGAGCGUCGAAGACGUGCUGACGCGGGCUGAGAGCCUCUACCGGCAGCUGACGGCCUGCAGGGAACUGCCCUACAACGUCCAGGAGGUGCUGGGCAUGGCAACGCCUGCAGAGCCACGCAGCCCCUCGCCCUCCGCCUGCCCGCUGCCACUGUCGCCCAUGCGGGCCCCACCUGCCCCGCCGCAGCCGCCGCCUCCCGUGGACCCAGCCCAGCAGCCCGACAGCAGCCUGGAGAUUCUGCCCGAGGACGACGAGGAUGCAGCGGGCUCCUCAGCCUGCUAGGCCAGCCUUCCGGCCCUGCACAAGCACUUUAUGCCAUCAGCGGCUACCUGGGUCCUGUGGCAUCAUCCACCUGAUACCUGCCAGGCUCAGCAGGCCAGAUGCUGGGCCCGGAACCAGCUGGGGCGGAACGGGGAUGACUGAGUCAAAGCUGACCACAUGACCCUGGCCUGGCCAGUGGGCCACUAGGGGAGCUCCUUCACUAGCAAAUGUGGGUGCCCGGGACCCCAUAGCACACCUUCACUAACAGGUGUGAAAAAAAAAGGUGUGGGUGGCCGGGACCCUGUGGUACACCUUUACUACCAGGUGGUACACCCUCACUAACAGGUAUGGGUACCCAGGACCCUUGGACCCCAUGGUACACCCAAACAGGUGUGGGUACAUGUGCAGGAUGCCGUGUCCUGGUGCUGGGACCCUGCCUGCAGCUGCUGCUUCUGUAACCGAAUAAACUGGCCUUAUUUAACCAC